rnacentral:rRNA from 1 species
UGGGGAAUUUUGGACAAUGGGCGCAAGCCUGAUCCAGCCAUGCCGCGUGAGUGAAGAAGGCCUUCGGGUUGUAAAGCUCUUUUACCAGGGACGAUAAUGACGGUACCUGGAGAAUAAGCCCCGGCAAACUUCGUGCCAGCAGCCGCGGUAAUACGAAGGGGGCUAGCGUUGUUCGGAAUUACUGGGCGUAAAGCGCACGUAGGCGGAUUGUUAAGUCAGAGGUGAAAUCCCGGAGCUCAACUUCGGAACUGCCUUUGAUACUGGCAAUCUAGAGUCCGGAAGAGGUUAGUGGAAUUCCCAGUGUAGAGGUGAAAUUCGUAGAUAUUGGGAAGAACACCAGUGGCGAAGGCGGCUAACUGGUCCGGUACUGACGCUGAGGUGCGAAAGCGUGGGGAGCAAACAGGAUUAGAUACCCCGUAGUCCCUGAGCGGGCUGGCAAGGCGCAU